AGGGUCUUCCAGGGCUUCCAGGGUUGCCAGGAAAGCCGGGCAAGAGGGGCCCACGGGGUCCUCCUGGCCCCCAUGGAAAUCCUGGUCGUCCUGGACUGCCUGGAAUCAAGGGACAAAAAGGAGAUCCUGGACUGUCCCCUGGUCAACCCCCAAAAGGAGAAAAAGGAGAGCCUGGUGUCACGGGCCCCCCUGGGCUGCCUGGCCAAGACGGAC
rnacentral:lncRNA from 1 species